UGGUAACAGAGCAGAACGCCUUAGGAUUAAAUCAGAUAUAUAUUUAUAUUCAAGUCCUGAUAUUGAGUGGUCAGAGCAAAAGGUUAAGUUGAAUGAUGUUGAGCACAAGUUAAAAGAUCAAGGACGUCAACUAAAGGUUCAACAGAAAAGAGUUGGUUCUACUAAAAAGACAAUUCAUCUUUGUAUAAAAAGUUGAAUCUCUCACUUCCUUCAACCUUGUCUGAUCCUGCA